CAAGUGAGCGCAAAAGCUCAAAUUUGAAAUCUGGUACCUUCGGUGUUCGAGGGGUAAUUUGGAGAGGGCAACUUUGGGGCCGUUCCUUGUCUAUGUUCCUUGGAACAGGACGUCAUAGAGGGUGAAAAUCCCGUGUGGCGAGAAGUGCGGUUCAUGUAAAGUGCCUUCAAAAAGGAGUUGUUUG
rnacentral:rRNA from 1 species